GUGGAAGUAGCUCAGUUUGGUUAGAGCAUCAGAUUGUGGUUCUGAGGGUCGGGGGUUCGAAUCCCCUCUUCCACC
rnacentral:tRNA from 1 species